rnacentral:lncRNA from 10 species
GUAGCUUCCUUGUCGUGUGGCCUCAGUCCUUCGCCGUCCCUCGCCGUCCUUCGCCAUCGCACGCCACCGCACCCCAUCUCUCGAAAUCUGCAGACAUCUUGAUUUUUCCCACGCUGUCUGUCAGGUCUCCGCCGCCACUCGACGCCAGGGCGCCGGGCCUUGUGGGCUGUGCUGCACCUCGGACGGCUUCGCACCAGCCAGCGCCCUCUCUCUCCUGCAGCACUCUGAUCUGCACCCCCUGAGGGGCUUCCACUGUCCGCGGGGUGAGAAUGCCCCUGGGAGUGUCACAUGACUGCCGCCCCAUGUGUGUGAGAGGCGUCCUCUGGGAGAGCAUGGAUCCUGAGGUCCCAGGAACAUCCCGAGAGCCAAGUUCCCAGAUGCCAGCCAAGGGCCAUCUGACCUGUUUUGAAUCUCAAUUUCCUGAUACAGAAAACAAAGGAUUGUCAGCUGACCUCUGUCCUGUGUGCCCAGUGGCCCCAGGUGACGUGUCUUCAAGAAGAGGCUGAGCUGCGGUGCUUGUAAGGUCUCAGCCUUAGAUCCAAGGACAGUCCAAGGAAGUCCUAAGACCAUGGAGUUGGUGAUCUGGGAUCUGGGUUUGCUGAUAUUUCUCACCGUGAAUCUCUUGGUGGUGUUUGUGGGCACGAGAGGGGCAGAGAAUGGAGAGUGAGGCUACCACAUGAAGCGUCACCAGAGCUGCUCCCUGCUGCCUGCUCAGAGCACCCCGGAUCCACUGUUCAAUCUGCACAAGAUUCGGGGUCCAGACAUGGGAGACUUCAGCUGCCUCAGAGGACCGUGGACAGGGAAGGCCAGCCUCGCAUCCCUCUGUCCAUGCCUGGAAUGACUUUAAUAACCAAGAGUUUUAUUUUUGAAUUUGUAGCUGUCGUUCACUUUUUACCCACCCAUUCAAUAAACCUUACAGAAUUGC